GAAAAUACCACAUUGAAAUAUUGGUUCUCCUCCGAUCACCGAAUUUAAGCAGCGUUGAGCCUGAUCACUAACUAGAUGGGCGACUCCUUUGGAAUACCAGGUGCUGUAA